UACGUAUGUUCCAAGCGUUAUCCGGAUUUAUUGGGCGUAAAGCGAGCGCAGACGGUUAUUUAAGUCUGAAGUGAAAGCCCUCAGCUCAACUGAGGAAUUGCUUUGGAAACUGGAUGGCUCGAGUGCAGUAGAGGAAAGUGGAACUCCAUGUGUAGCGGUGAAAUGCGUAGAUAUAUGGAAGAACACCAGUGGCGAAGGCGGCUUUCUGGACUGUAACUGACGUUGAGGCUCGAAAGUGUGGGUAGCAAACAGGAUUAGAUACCCUGGUAGUCCACACCGUAAACGAUGAGUGCUAGAUGUUCGAGGGUUUCCGCCUUGAGUGUCGCAGCUAACGCAUUAAGCACUCCGCCUGGGGAUACGACCGCAAGGUUGAAACUCAAA
rnacentral:rRNA from 1 species